rnacentral:lncRNA from 1 species
CAUCUUGCUUCAUAUAUUUUACUCUGAUCUUUUUUAGGAUGAAGCUCAUUUGAGAAAUCUUUUCUCUGCCUUUGGGGAGAAAUUAUUCGCCUUCUUUCACAAGACUGUAGAUGAGAAGAGAAGAAGGAGCAGACGGUGGUGCCGUCUUGUCUCAGGACCAAGUACUGCCGUGGAGUUGUAUACUGUACAAAAAGCAUCCCCCUGCGGAAAAACAGUUAGUGCUUCUGCAAACAAGACUUGGCUGCAGAGCUCUUACGCCAAUGAAAAAGGAUAUGGCUCUGUGGCAGUGACCCUCUUCUGCAAUGCCCUUUUGGACAUCACUCUUCCAGCUAGUGGCUGCUGUUGAGGGCAUAGCAGAAGAAUUUCCAAAUCCCAGAAUAUCAGAAUGGUUGCAGUAAACUACCAAGUGUAACUUAGAGCAACCCACAGAUGGGAAAUAAAAA